rnacentral:rRNA from 1 species
UACGUAGGGCGCAAGCGUUAUCCGGAAUUAUUGGGCGUAAAGAGCUCGUAGGCGGUUUGUCGCGUCUGCCGUGAAAGUCCGGGGCUCAACUCCGGAUCUGCGGUGGGUACGGGCAGACUAGAGUGAUGUAGGGGAGACUGGAAUUCCGGGUGUAGUGGUGGAAUGCGUAGAGAUCCGGAGGAACACCAGUGGCGAAGGCGGCUGCCUGGGCCUGGCCUGACGCUGAGGCGGCGAAAGCGUGGGGAGCAA